GCCCUAUUAGCAUAUACACAGCCCUGCGUGAGAAGCUGUGGUCUGCCAUUAUGGUUUUCUUGUUGUAGCUGCUGGAGAUACAAAGUCAGCGCCAAAGAGCCAUUAAAAGUGUGGUGUGUUGGGAUGCUCCAAAGAACAUAGGUGUCUCCACAGAUCACUGAGGAUACGGUGGUUAAAUUUCAUUUUCAAAGGAAAUACCCCGGAAAAAAAGCGGAAAGGUCCUAUACGUUUGUGCUAACAUUUUACGCUGGACUGCCUCACAAGGAGUUGUGCAAAGAUUGCUUCUGAAAGAGCGAUCGAUACCAACACUUCGUGUGCAAACAUCCAGACUCCAGACAAAGCAUUAUUUUACCUUGAUGUACAGUACACCUGCUCCAGCGUCAAAACAAUGGUGGACUGAUGACAGCUCACUCAGGGCGGAUCUAAGGUUUUUGGUGAAUGAUGGCUGUAGGGUCAAUGAGAAAUCAGCGGAGAGCCCUAAAUGUUUAUCCAGGCUGCUGACUGGUGCAAAUAGUCUUCUGGAGCACCAUCAGGUUUCAGGCCAGCUACCCUGCAUGGCUGCACUGCCACUAUAAAUCCACAAGCUGAUUAAACAGUAAAUUUAGCAUGCCUAUCAACUUACCAUUAACCAGGUUGCUGCUUUCAAAAACAUCAUUAAUCAAGCAGCAGAUAUGGAGGAAAAUAUCAGUCAUCGAUCCUGUGCACUUAUGACAGUUAACACUGCAGCAUAUUAGCAUUGAGCGGCCGCUGAUCUAUCAAUUACUUACCGACCACAUGAUUCGCCUGCUGCCCGC
ensembl:lncRNA